rnacentral:rRNA from 1 species
UACGUAGGUGGCAAGCGUUGUCCGGAUUUAUUGGGUUUAAAGGGUGCGUAGGCGGCCCUGUAAGUCAGUGCUGAAAUAUCCCGGCUUAACCGGGAGGGUGGCAUUGAUACUGCGGGGCUAGAGUACAGAUGAGGUAGGCGGAAUUGACGGUGUAGCGGUGAAAUGCUUAGAUAUCUGGAAGAACACCGGUGGCGAAGGCGGCCUUCUGGACGAUGACUGACGCUGAGACGCGAAGGCGUGGGGAGCGAACGGG